GACCACUCUUUCUUUGUGUUCAAACUUUAAUAAUAAGCUGCUUUAACACAAGAUCUUUUGAGUGUGGAGGCAGGAGAAGGUCUAAGCUCACUGCUCCUCCUGUGCUGCUGCCGCUGGGGACACCAAGAGACUGCAGAGUCAUCUCACCACUGCUGGCCCUUUGGAUGGACCUGCUAUGCUGUGGGGCGUGGAUCGUUUCUGCUCAGCCUUGUAUUGAAAUCUGUAAAUCAUGGAAAAAUGUUAUGCAUUCUCCUGAAAAACUCAUUAUGACUUUAAAUGAGAAGGAUACAGAAAACAGCUUUAUAUUAAGGUUUAUGUUUUGACUGAAGAAUAAUCUGGAACGGUCUGUGUUUCAUGAGCUGUACCUUGAAAAGGUAUGAUAAAGUGUUACUGGUCACAAAAAAUGGCAGAAACAGAGCAAUGGAAAUAACAGAAGUUAUAGAUUGGAAAGAUUUGGAAAUGGAUAUUAUGCUUCUCAUUGAAUCUGAGCAAGUUUCCCAAGUUCAGAGAAUAUCAAGAAAAAGUAUCUUUUUAUUUUGGAAAAAAAGAAAAAAGUGUUUCAUUUAUACAACCAUUUUAAACUAUAUCUUACUUAAGAUACACUCACUUCCUUAGAUGGAAAAGACAGACUUCUAAAAUUGGAAAAAGGAUGAGUAUCAAAGGGACACUGCAGUACUGGAUUAUACAAAGUGUCCCUAGGGAAUUGAAGUAAUAUAUGAAACGAAGUUUAGGCUCAAACUAGGUAAGUUACUUCUAUCAACAUGUUCCACUAUUUACAGAAUUCACACCUGACUGGGGAGGGUGUAAUGCUGGGGCUGCAUUGCUGAAGGAAAAGGAUAAAAAAAAUUCCACUGCAGUAAUAUUUAAGUUUGAGAGAGCGAGGAGCGAGCAGAUUAAAACGAGGAAGUUAGCUAACAGAAAAAUGAAAAGAACAUCUAAAAAGAUAUAAUGCAAACAGCAUGGAGGCAGGCUGGAGACAAAGUGUAUGAGAGACUCAGAAUAAUCACAUAUAACUCAU